rnacentral:rRNA from 1 species
UACAUGGGGUGCAAACGUUGCUCGGAAUUAUUGGGCGUAAAGCGCGCGUAGGCGGUUACUUAUGUCGGAUGUGAAAGCCCUCGGCUUAACUGAGGAAGUGCAUUCGAAACUGGGUAGCUAGAGUACUAAAGAGGGUCGCGGAAUUCCCGGUGUAGAGGUGAAAUUCGUAGAUAUCGGGAGGAACACCGGUGGCGAAGGCGGCGACCUGGGUAGAUACUGACGCUGAGGCGCGAAAGCGCGGGGAGCGAACGGG